AUGGAGGAGCCACAGUCCGAUCUCAGCAUCGGGCCCCCUCUCAGUCAGGAAACAUUUUCAGACCUAUGGAAACAACUUCCUGAAAACAACAUUCUGUCCUCCUCGCUUUUCCAACCCGUGGAUGAUUUGAUGCUGUCCCCGGAUGACACUGCACAAUGUUUCAGUCAAGACCGGGUUCCAGAUGAAGCUCCUACAGUGUCAGAGGCUCCUCCCGGCUUGGCCCAGGUGCCGACAGCUCCUACACAAGCCGCCCCCGCACCAGCCACCCACCCCCCCCCCCCCCCGGCCUCUGUCAUCCUCUGUCCCUUCGCAGAAAACCCACCACGGAGGUCUGGGCUUCUUGCAUUCUGGGACAGCGAAGUCGGUGACUUGCACAUGCUCCCCUGCCCUCGACAAGAUGUUUUGCCAGCUGGCUAAGACCUGCCCUGUGCAGCUGUGGGUUGAUUCCACACCCCACACCUGGCAACCAUGUCCGCGCUAUAGCCAUCUACAAGCAGUCGCAGCUCAUGACGGAGGUCAUGAGGCGCUGCCUCCACCAUGAGCACUGCUCAGAUAGUUAUGGUCUGGCCCCUCCUCAGCAUCUUAUCAGUGGAAGGAAAUUUACACGUGGAGUAUUUGGAUGACAGAAACACUUUUGACAUAGUAUGGCUGUGCCCUAUGAGCCGCCUGAAGUCAGCUCUGAUUGUGCCACCAUCCACUACAACCCCAUGUGUAACAGUUCCUAAAUGGGCAGCAUGAACCAGAGGCCCAUCCUCACUAUCAUCACCCUGGAAGGCUCCAGUGGUGAUCUGCUGGGACGGAACAGCUUUGAGGUGAGCAUUUGUGCCUGUCCUGGGAGAGACUGGUGCACAGAGGGAGAGAAUUUCCUCAAGAAAGGGGAGCCUUGCCCUGAUCUGCCCCGGGAACACUAAGCGAGCACUGCCGAACAGCACCAGCUCCUCUCUCCAGCCAAAGAAGAACCCACUGGAUGGAGAAUAUUUCACCCUUCAGUUCCAUAGACGUGAGCGCUUUGAGAUGUUCCAAGAGCUGAAUGAGGCCUUGGAACUCAAGGAUGCCCAGGUUGGAAAGAGCCAGUGGGGAGCAGGGCCUACUCCAGCCUCCUGAAGUCCAAGAAGGGGCAGUCCACCCUCCACCAUAAAAAACUAAUGAUCAAGAGAGAGGAACUGACUCAGACUGACAUU